AACGAACGCUGGCGGCAGGCUUAACACAUGCAAGUCGAACGCCCCGCAAGGGGAGUGGCAGACGGGUGAGUAACGCGUGGGAACAUACCCUUUUCUACGGAAUAGCUCUGGGAAACUGGAAUUAAUACCGUAUACGCCCUACGGGGGAAAGAUUUAUCGGGGAAGGAUUGGCCCGCGUUGGAUUAGCUAGUUGGUGGGGUAAAGGCCUACCAAGGCGACGAUCCAUAGCUGGUCUGAGAGGAUGAUCAGCCACAUUGGGACUGAGACACGGGCCAAACUCCUACAGGAGGCAGCAGUGGGGAAUAUUGGACAAUGGGCGCAAGCCUGAUCCAGCCAUGCCGCGUGAGUGAUGAAGGCCUUAGGGUUGUAAAGCUCUUUCACCGAUGAAGAUAAUGACGGUAGUCGGAGAAGAAGCCCCGGCUAACUUCGCGCCAGCCGCCGCGGUAACAC
rnacentral:rRNA from 1 species